GUGGCCCGCCUUCCGGAAGGAAGGCCUGGCGGCUAACUAUGGCGACGGUCGCGGAGCAGUGGGUGCUGGUGGAGAUGGUACAGGCGCUCUACGAGGCUCCUGCUUAUCAUCUUAUUUUGGAAGGAAUUUUAAUACUCUGGAUAAUCAGACUUCUUUUCUCUAAGACUUACAAGUUACAAGAACGAUCUGAUCUUACAGUCAAGGAAAAGGAAGAAUUGAUUGAAGAGUGGCAACCAGAACCUCUUGUUCCUCCUGUCUCAAAAGACCAUCCUGCUCUCAACUACAACAUCGUUUCAGGCCCUCCAAGCCAUAACAUUGUGGUGAAUGGAAAAGAAUGUAUAAACUUUGCCUCAUUCAAUUUUCUUGGAUUGUUGGAUAACCCUAGGCUCAAGGCAGCAGCUUUGGCAUCUCUAAAGAAGUAUGGUGUGGGAACUUGUGGACCUAGAGGAUUUUAUGGCACAUUUGAUGUGCACUUGGAUUUGGAAGACCGCCUGGCAAAAUUUAUGAAGACAGAAGAAGCCAUUAUAUACUCAUAUGGAUUUGCCACCAUAGCCAGUGCUAUUCCUGCUUACUCUAAGAGAGGGGACAUUGUGUUUGUAGAUAAAGCUGCCUGCUUUGCUAUUCAGAAGGGAUUACAGGCAUCACGUAGUGACAUUAAGCUAUUUAACCAUAACGAUAUGGAUGACCUGGAGCGACUAUUGAAAGAACAAGAGAUUGAAGAUCAAAAGAAUCCUCGCAAGGCUCGUGUAACUCGACGUUUCAUUGUAGUCGAAGGGUUGUAUAUGAAUACUGGAACUAUUUGCCCUCUUCCAGAAUUGGUUAAGUUAAAAUACAAAUAUAAAGCAAGGAUCUUUCUGGAGGAAAGCCUUUCGUUUGGAGUCCUGGGGGAGCAUGGCCGAGGAGUCACUGAACAUUUUGGAAUUGAUAUUGAUGAUAUUGAUCUUAUCAGUGCCAACAUGGAGAAUUCACUUGCUUCUAUUGGGGGUUUCUGCUGUGGCAGGUCUUUCGUAAUUGACCAUCAGCGACUUUCCGGCCAGGGAUACUGCUUUUCAGCUUCAUUACCUCCUCUCUUAGCUGCUGCUGCAAUUGAGGCCCUCAACAUCAUGGAAGAAAAUCCAGGUAUUUUUGCAGUGUUGAAGGAAAAGUGCAAACGAAUUCAUAAAGCUUUACAAGGCAUUUCUGGAUUAAAAGUGGUGGGUGAGUCCAUUUCUCCCGCAUUUCACCUCCAGCUGGAAGAGAGCACUGGGUGUCGAGAGAGAGAUGUUAAACUACUUCAGGAAAUAGUAACUCAAGUGAGUAUCCAGUUAUUCGGGUGAAUCUCUUCGUACCCUUCUACCCUGAACCCAAGCAAUUUUUAAGGUCAUUUUUAAGAAUGCUCUCUUUGCCUUAAGAGAUUGGGUACAACAGAAGUUGUGGUUACCCCUCUGGGGACAUGGAAUUGUUCUGAUGCCCAGCCUUCCCGACAUCUGUCCCUGCCCAGUGGAGUCUGUAGCACGUCUCUACUGACAGGCUGCAGGUUAUUCCAUUGGGUCAGUUUUCAGCUCACAUUGAGGUUGUGUUCUUUGCCACAUUGUAUUAGAAUACACUUUGCUUCCACUCUGAAUAAUUCGUCUUCCAGAAAACCCAGUUGCUUACUAUUUACAAAGCCAGACUUUUGCACAUGUAGGUGGGGAUGGCAUUGUGUAUGGUGAUGGCGCACAACACCAGACAGCUGACUGUCUGGGGCUGAACACCCAGCGUAGCUCAGAAACAGGUCGAAAUAAUCUUGUAACCGAAAAGGAAGGAAGAAGAGCCACUCCUUUACCAUGCCUAACUUGGGAGCUUGAUUUAAAUGUCUGACUUCUGAAAGUCUUACUACUAAGUGUACCUUAGUUAUUAACUAAGAAACACAUCACUAGGGAAGAUCCCUUGGCCUUUACUGUUCAGUUGAGCUGCGUUCACCCAAGUCCUCUCUCCUCACUUUCCUCCUUCUAAAGAACGGUCAAGUGGCCCUGCAGCACUGAGCACCGAGGGCGGUGCUGCCUUCUACUUGAAUCUGAAAUACAUGGAGUAUGUAUUUCAGAAUGAAGACAAGCUUCACUCUGCUUCCUUGUCCUGCUUGUCCUGACGGUUCCUUUCAGAGGCUCCUUCCCUGAGUCCGUGCUGCCAGGCGUCAGGGUAGUAGGGAUGGUCAAGUCUGCCACGUGCCCCUGCCCGGCUGUGGCACAGCAGGCAGUCACGUGGCUGCUCAGUAUGGAGACCGUGGUGCUCAGCCAGCCUCUGGCUUCACCGCUGGCUUCAGCUGACCUGUACCCUAUGAUGUGUGAACCACAGUACCUGCAGUCAUGGAUUCAUGGAGAGCUUCUUGCAACUUGUGGCCUUCUAGAGUCAGUUGUCCUAAAAAAGCAAAAUAAAACCAAACCCAGAAUAUGAGAUUCCUAAUUAAGGAAACGUGUCAGAUUAUGAAUGAACAGGCUGGAGUGGCUCCCGCCUUGCUGGGUGAGGAAAUGUCACGGGUGUCUCCUCAGGUGCAGCUCUACAAACAUGAAAAAAAAAAACUCUUUAAAGGGGAAAAGCAUCCCACAGACCUUUUUUACUGCCUCGGUGUUUUUAUUGUCGUAUUACUUAAAUGUAUAAGCUGUAAAAGGAAGUACAGCAUCCUUUUAAUUAGAGCUCCUAUACAAAUGUAAUACCAAAACAAAUUUAUAAAUUAAAUAUAAGCAGAACAGACAAGCCUAGUAAGAGUCAAAUUAUGACAUUACCUUCAUGUGACAGCUGAGUUUUCUAACUGAGUUGCCGGGUGGUGUGACUGACGCUGACGGCCGCCACAGCAGCCUUGUGAAGCUGCAUGUCCUGCGUUGGCGCCUGUGGUGACGCCGUUAUCAUCCCAGAGCCUCCCCUCGAACCCCCCUCGGGGUGCUUCUCUACACACUCUGUGUCACGGGACGUGGGCCUUCUCUAGGUGCCAGGGUGUCAGUUCCAGUCAGAUCCACCUCAGUUCUUUUCUCACUAGGUAGCAACAGCUGAGGUCUUACUGCUACUCUGUUCCAGAGGGAGACUCAGAAAGGGCCUGUGAAUCCAGCGCCUCGAUACUUCUCUUACAUAGCUUAUCCUCAUGACAAAAAGAGAAGGGGAGUCUGGACAACUCACAGAUCCCAAAAUUACAUCCGUGGGCUCCCACUGGAUAUUGGCUGUCUUCAGGAAAUCACCUUGAGAGUUGAAUGAGGAGAGAACAGGCUCUGGGGAAGGGAACAGAAUACUAUCUGGAAACUGCAUCUGUAGGAAGGAAGAGGAAAACUUAGAGUUUCUUUGCAUCAUUGCAGCUUCCAUCUUAAUAAGUCUUUUGUCCUGUUCCUCUUUGCUUUUUCUUUUCAAUAUUUGAAAGAGAAAAAAGGAUCAUGACACCAUAGUUCUUGUUUAAGCUUUGCAGAACUGAGCUGUUCUGCCAAAUUUUUGUUGACUUCCUGAUAAGACAGUUUUUACAAACUGAGCUAUGGUUUAUACUGUUUCUUAACUAGACAGGACUGGAAACAGAGCCAGUCCAGAUGUUUGCAGAAGGAGUUAACUUUUCCAAGUACACUUCCAGAAUGUAGAAUCAGCAAAAGACAUUGCCUGCCGUUGUUUUCCAUCUUUUCCUAGCAGAGGAAAACCUUGCCUCACAGCUUACAGAAUAGCCCCUCUUCAGGCAAAUACCUGCACUGCCACACGCUGGCAGUGAUUGAUUGUUCUUUCCUUUACGGCACCCCUUGUUCUAGCUGGUUGUUUGUUUGUUUGUUUAAAAAUACAAUUCACGUUCCAUAAAAUUCACUCUUUAAAGUAUACAAUUGAGUGGUUUUUAAUAUCCUCACAGGAUUGUGCAGCCAUCGCUAUCUGAUUUCAGAACAUUUCAUCACCCCAAGGAGAAACCCUUAUAAACCAUUACCCUGGUCUGACUUUAUGCUUUAUUUUGAUAGCGGUUAUUUAAUUUUUAGAAAAAUGUUGGCAGGUAGCUGAUGUAUUGGAAAGCUGUGCAAAAUGUGACACCAGACUCUUCUGUGCUUGGUAGCACUGUGUCCAAGUGUAGCACAUGGGAAUCAGAGGUGUUGUUGAUAUUUGACGUGUGAGCAGUUCCUCUCUGAAAUGAUUCUGCUGGCAUUAUAAAGUCCAGCUCUUGGUUAGCCUCCGAGGCUUUGUUGGUCCUGUUUCCCCUUGUCCUAACUCUGCUUUGCCUAAAGUGGUAACCACUAGUUACCUAUGGCUGUUUAAAUUAAGUCAGAUUCAAAGUUCAGUGUUACAGUUGCAGUAGCCGUAUCUCAAAGUGCCCGAGAGCCACGUGGGCCCCUGACUGCCGUCCUGGACAGCACAGGACGAACACCUCCAUCAUUGCAGGAAGUUCUGUAGAACAGUGCUCUCAAGAUGUGCAUGGACAGAGGCAUCGCGUUAACUCAGGCGCGCUACCUGGAGAAAGAAGAGAAGUAUCUCCCUCCUCCGAG